UUGGAUUUGUAAGUUCAUAAAAUAAAAUGUUAACAGCAACUUGGUUUUGGCAAUUGGCGGAGAUCCGACCGUUGGAUCAUUCUGAAACUUUAGUAUGUUAUUCUAGAAACAUAAUGUGGAUCUUUGCAGGUUACGAAUCGGAAAUCUGAUAUGCAGAUCUUCCAGAUCGAAUUAAGUAAGGAUGUGUUUUAUGUAAGUUACAUAUUCUAUCGAUAAGAUUUCUAAGACAUGAUUUGAUAAUUGUUUUAGGCGCCAAUCGUUCGUGACACCUCGAUGUGUGUGCUAGGGAGUGUAGCACGCAAUCAAGGUGAGUGGGCUUUUGGUUUUUAAUAUAUGUAUAUAUACAUUAUGUUUUUCCCAGAAAUAUUGAUUUAAAUGAUUUUGCGUUUUAGAUGCCAUGUCAAAUGCUUUAUAUUUUAGAAUAUGCAUUACUAGUUAUGUAUGUUAGUAUUUGACACUGUGGACGCUCAGAUAAGUUCCAGGUGAGUAUAUGUAUUGAUGAUUGUGUUGCAUUGUAAUGGUUAUGCUUAGAGGCAUUUAGAGCUCAUAAACCUGCACCCCGGUGUUAGUGCUCCUGCCCAUGGUCAGGGCACAGUCCUUCACGUGAUGUUCACCUCUCGCACCGCACGCUCACCUUGGAUCCAAGUUUGGUGCACAACCCUAUCGUACAAACCACAAUAGGUUGUUCCGACUUGUAGGUGACCCGCAAUUUAUCGCACAAACUUCAAGUGAUCGUAGCACUUGAGCGUACUUAUUACACCUAGCCCUGUCAUACAGACAACAUUAGAUGGUUUCGACUCGUGUGCAGGCAUACUUGAUGAGUUAUAGGUUCAGCCAUACAGGCCACAAUAGGUGGAUCCGGCUGACAUAUCACUUUUCAUUGAUUUACUUCACCUGGUUUACUUAUUCAUUAUGUUGAGAUAUUUGACCUGGCAUACAUGUGGAUUUUGGUAUUUCGAGUAUGGUUUCGAUAUAUGUAAGUAUUUUAUUUUCUGGGAAAUUAUACGGGUUUUACGGCGAUGGGUUAUUACUUUUGGAAAGAGAUAUGGUUUUGAAAAGAUU
rnacentral:lncRNA from 1 species